UGCAAGUCGAGGGGCAGCAUGGUCUUAGCUUGCUAAGGCCGAUGGCGACCGGCGCACGGGUGAGUAACACGUAUCCAACCUGCCGAUAACUCGGGGAUAGCCUUUCGAAAGAAAGAUUAAUACCCGAUGGUAUAAUUAGACCGCAUGGUGGAACUAUUAAAGAAUUUCGGUCAUCGAUGGGGAUGCGUUCCAUUAGGUUGUUGGCGGGUAACGGCCCACCAAGCCUUCGAUGGAUAGGGGUUCUGAGAGGAAGGUCCCCACAUUGGAACUGAGACACGGUCCAAACUCC
rnacentral:rRNA from 1 species